AUUUACAAUGCGGGAAACCGUGAUAAGGGAACUCCGAGUGCCCGUAAACGCGGGCUGUCCAUCUGCUUAAAAAACAGGUGAAGAAAGGGCCGGGCAAGACCGGUGCCAGCCGCCGCGGUAAUACCGGCGGCUCGAGUGGUGGCCACUAUUACUGGGCUUAAAGCGUCCGUAGCUUGGUUGUUAAGUCUCUUGGGAAAUCUCUCGGCUUAACCGACAGGCGUUUAAGGGAUACUGGCAUUCUAGGGACCGGGAGAGGUGAGAGGUACUCCAGGGGUAGGAGUGAAAUCCUGUAAUCCUUGGGGGACCACCUGUUGCGUAGGCGUCUCACCAGAACGGCUCCGACAGUGAGGGACGUAAGCUGGGGGAGCAAACCGGAUUAGAUACCCGGGUAGUCCCAGCCGUAAACGAUGCGCGUUAGGUGUAUCGGUGACCACGAGUCACCGAGGUGCCGAAGGGAAACCGUGAAACGUGCCGCCUGGGAAGUACGGUCGCAAGGCUGAAACUUAAAGGAAUUGGCGGGGGACCACCACAACAGGUGGAGCCUGCGGUUUAAUCGGACUCAAU
rnacentral:rRNA from 1 species